rnacentral:lncRNA from 1 species
UCUCCGACGCCUACGUGCGCGGCAGCGAGGAGGCGCCGGCCGCCGAGCCCGACGGACCCCUGACGCUCUACCUCAUCGUCUGCCUGGCCUGCGUGUCGGCGCUCUUCCUGGCCACCGCGGUGGCCGCCGCCGUGCUGAGGCUGCGUCGCGCCAGGCGGAGCGAGGCCGACACCUUGCCCACCUUCCCGAAGGCUGCCGCGGAGAGCAACGCGGGCUCCCUGCCCCGCAGCCUCGUCUACGACGUCUGCUUCGCCGCCGGGACCGUCAACAGCGAGUUCCGGUUCCUCCGGCCCCUCUUGCCCUGCUUCCCCGCCGGGCUCCCCCCCGGCCCGGGCGAACAGCGGAGCUCCGUGUGCUCGCAAGAGGCGGCCAACCUCGGCGAAGAAGGCGACUUCGGGGCUGCACAGGGCAGAGCUCCCCUCUCUGAAGACCCGGGCCCCAGGGCUGCAGAAGCAGCUUGCGCUGCAAACAGGGGGAUGGAGCUGAAUGUCAAUUCUGAUCCAAACCCUUGGCUCACCCAUCAAUGAGGAGAAUGAGAAGCAUGUCUGUCCUCCUUCGCUAACGUGCUCACCGCGAAGAGAGAAUGAAGAGACCAAACACCCACCAGAAAAGUACCGAGGAGGUGUCAGCCUUCUCUGUGAAAGAGUAAAACCACUUUCCUCUUGAGCAGUACUUUAUUCCUGUAGGUAUUUUGUAAUUGUGAUAGGGAUGGAGGAGGAGGACUGUGUUGCAUGUUAAUUACACCGAAAUUUGAUGUAUGAUUGUGAGAUUCCCACUGAUAUUCCCCAUCUAUUCCCCAUAGAUGUUUAUGUAAAUCCUGAAAACUGGAAGCAGCUCUUCAAGAUAACUUUCUUCUACAUAAUUUUUACUGUAUUGUUUUUUAGUUAUGCUGGGUUUUUUUUUUAUUUCUUUGUCUGUUUUUGUCUCAUGCAGAGUACUCGGUAAUAGUGUCUUAAUUUCCCGCAGUCUAUCCAAUACCAGGCCAAACAGAUAUUAAGCAAAAUCAAGUGGUGCUUGCAAACUCCUUAAUAACAAGCAGAACCGAUUACCUUAGAAAUAUCUGACAUUGGCAGACUUUGCAUAUUUCACCAGGAAUUUACAGGUUUUUUUGUACUGCAAAGAUUGGGCUUUGAUCAAUGUAUUCCCCCUUUUUAAUAUAUUUUUUUUUGUAACGUGAACUUGAAAUAAACAUUUCAGGAUUUUUGAGUAUAAGGUAGUA